GAUUGAUCCUGCCGGACCUGACUGCUAUCGGAUUGGUACUAAGCCAUGCGAGUCGUUGUAGCAAUACAAGGCGAACUGCUCAGUAACACGUAGUUAACCUAACCUAUGGAUGGGGAUAACCUCGGGAAACUGAGAAUAAUACCCAAUAGAUCGCAGUGCCUGGAAUGGCCUGUGAUUGAAAUGAUUUAUCGCUGUAGGAUGGGACUGCGGCCUAUCAGCUUGUUGGUGAGGUAAUGGCCCACCAAGGCUAUAACAGGUACGGGCUCUGAGAGGAGGGGCCCGGUAGAUGGGUACUGAGACACGGACCCAGGCCCUAUGGGGCGCAGCAGGCGACAAACCUUUGCAAUGUGCGAAAGCACGACAAGGUUAAUCCGAGUGUCUCCUGCUACAGGAGUCUUCUGUCAGUCGUAGAAUCGCUGGCGAAUAACGGGUGGGCAAGUUCUGGUGUCAGCCGCCGCGG
rnacentral:rRNA from 1 species